AUGUAUGUGUGUAUGCAUUGUACACCACAUUGUGGUGGUCUGAAUAAGAAAGGCCCCAUAGGCUUAUCUAUGUGAAUGUUUAGUCAUUAGGGAGUGGCACUUCUUGAGAAGGAUUAGGAGGUGUGGUACUGUUGGAAGGAGUGUGUCACUGGGGUUAGGCUUUGAAGUCUCAAAAGCCCAAGCCAGGUCCAGUUUCUCUCUCUUCCUACUGCCUGUGGAUCCAGAUGUAGAACUCUCACCUAUUUCUCUAGCACCAUGUCUGCCUGUGUGCCGCCAUGCUCCCCACCAUGAUGAUAAUGCAUGAAACCUCUGAAACAUUAAGCCAGCCCCAAUUAAAUAUCUUCUAAGAGUCACCUUGAUCAUAGUGUCUCUUCCCAGCAAUAGAACAGAGACCAAGACAUACACACAUAUGAUUUUUUUAUUUUUACUUUUUGGAGAAAAGGUGUCUGACCUGGUGAGAUCUUGAACCUUCAGUUCUCCUGCUUCAGCCUCCAGACUGCUGGAUUAUAGGUCUGUGUCAACUCAACUGGCUUCGUUUCCUCCAUUGCUUGUUUUAUUCAUUUUAUCUUUCAAAAGAUUUAUUUAUUUUAUGUAUAUGAAUGUUUUGUCUGCAUGUAGAUAUGUGCACCCUGUGUGUACCUGGUGCUUAUGGAGGCCAGAGGAAAGUAUUGGAUCUCCUGGAACUAGACUUACAGGUAUUUGGGAGCCACUAUAUAGUAGCUGCAAACUAAACCCAGAUACUCUGCAAGAUCAACAAAUGCACUUAAUAGCUGAGCCAUCCUUCCAGUCCCUUAUUUUGAAUAAGAGCAAGGUAUAGUAUCAGUCAGGUAGUAAAGCACUGUCUAGCAUGUCUAAGGUCCUGGUUUUAAUAUCUAGUACACCAGCUCCGCACAUACAGACAGACAACAUUCACCAUUAAUGCCUCUAUUUAUCUAUCUAUCUACCUAUCAUCUAUCUCUCUGUAAAAGAGUAGGAUUCUUGACUCCCAAGUACUGAGAUUAAAGGUGUGUGCCCUCACCAGCUGUCAACAGCUUGACAUAUUGACGUGUGUGUGUGUGUGUGUGUGUGUGUGUGUGUGUGUGUGUGUGUGUGUGUGUGUGUGUGUGCCGUGAUGUCUGGCUGAUUUUUAUGGAGAGUCAUAUCCUGAGAUGUUAGAGUGGCCCAUGGUUGGUGAUUUAGGACUUUGGAAUCAAGGAAAGACCCAGGUUUAGUACCUUGCUGCACUCUUCCUGCCAGAGUCCCCUUGGACAAGAUAAUGUGUUUGUUUUACUGGUAAAAAUCUAUGUUAUACAGAGUUACAUUUUCCUUAUUGGUAAAAUGUGUAUCUCAGGGGAGUUAAGUAGGUGAUUUAUGCAAAGUGCCUUUCACAGAGAGACUAGCACAUAGUAGGUGCUCCAUCACUAUUAGUUCUUCUGGCGCCUGCCAGAAGUAACAGAAAUCAGGGCACUAGGACUUAGAAGCCUUGCUGCUACUAAUAAAAGAAAUAAUGUGAUUUAUUUUUUCAGUGCUGUUUGGGGAAAGGCGUGUGCUUUAUAAAUAUGUAUUGGAAAGUACUUAGCAAAUGAGUAGAAAUAAUAAAAAUAUGUCAAAG
rnacentral:lncRNA from 1 species